rnacentral:rRNA from 1 species
UACGGGGGGGGCAAGCGUUGUUCGGAAUUACUGGGCGUAAAGGGCUCGUAGGCGGCCAACUAAGUCAGACGUGAAAUCCCUCAGCUUAACUGGGGAACUGCGUCUGAUACUGGAUGGCUUGAGUUCGGGAGAGGGAUGUGGAAUUCCAGGUGUAGCGGUGAAAUGCGUAGAUAUCUGGAGGAACACCGGUGGCGAAGGCGGCAUCCUGGACCGACACUGACACUGAGGAGCGAAAGCCAGGGGAGCAAACGGG